AACGGUCUAUACCUGCGGUACCUGCGGAGGGAUCAUUACCGAGUUUACAACUCCCAAACCCCUGUGAACAUACCACUCGUUGCCUCGGCGGAUCACCGCGCCCCGUGAAACGGGCCGGCCCGCCAGAGGACCUAAACUCAAAUGUUUUAUUGUAUCUUCUGAGUAAAAACACAAAUAAAUCAAAACUUUCAACAAUGGAUCUCU
rnacentral:misc_RNA from 1 species